rnacentral:rRNA from 1 species
UACGUAGGGUGCGAGCGUUAAUCGGAAUUACUGGGCGUAAAGAGUGCGUAGGCGGUUCUCCAAGUCCGUUGUGAAAGCCCCGGGCUCAACCUGGGAAUGGCCGUUGAAACUGGCGAACUGGAGUGUGGCAGAGGGGGGUGGAAUUCCGCGUGUAGCAGUGAAAUGCGUAGAGAUGCGGAGGAACACCGAUGGCGAAGGCAGCCCCCUGGGCUAACACUGACGCUCAGGCACGAAAGCGUGGGGAGCAAACAGG